AUGCAUUCAUUCAGCAAAGACAUCAUUGAGAAGGAAGAGGGGGAUGGUUCCUCAGAAGCAGGGAACCAGGGUGUCAGAAAGUGAGGACAGAAAUCUAGUGCUUUCUGCCCCUCAAAAGAAUCGCUAUUUUGCAUCUCUGCAUCAUCCAAGGCCAUCUCAAGAGAUCUAA
rnacentral:lncRNA from 1 species